CCCGUUUCAUCCUCAGGCAACACUGCUAGAAAGAGGCCAUCGAUCCCCUGGCCAGCAACCACCAAAGCUGGGAACCGGAAGUGGCCACCGCCCGCGGCCUUAUAAUGCUACUCUGCACCAACACCGCCCCUGUUGCAAAGCAGCCACACUACUGCGGCAUUCACGCAUGGCCCGCAGCCGCCAUUGAUGCAAGCAGGGGAAGGUCGACACCGGGAACGCUACAGUGCGGUUGCAGCAAGGUCGGGCGGAGAGCAUCUCUGGCAAGCACGGCUGUAAGGAUAUGGGAUAAUCAAAAGAUGGGUAUCAAUGCAUGCACGCCGUAGGAUGAACAAGAACUGGGGAUAUAUAUAAUUAUUCAUACUGCAAGAAUAAUUAUGCAAGACAAGACUGUUCAUCCAAGUUAAAAUAUUGGGUCAUGCAGGAAGACUAAUAUAUUCAACAAUGCAUGGAUGACUCAUACAACGGUGCAUGCAAGAGUUGGAAUUAAAUAUCAUGGAAAGAGCUCCAAUGGAGACAAGAGCUUCAGUCUGGACAAGAUCAUCUGUCAAGACAAGGUUUUCAGUCUAGACAAAAUCAUCUGUCAAGACAAAGAUUUUAGUCUGGACAAAAUCAUCUGUCAGGACAAAGAUUUGAGUCUGGACAAAACCAUUUGUCAAGACAAAGUCAUGCAUUGGAAUCAUGCAUGGCUAUGCAAACAUAGAUGCUUGACUGUGCAAACUACAAGGCACAUAAAAUAGGGGGCUGUUUCAUCAGCUCACACAAAGGAACAUGCAAGACGUAGAAGUUGUUCCAAGGCAUGCUGUAGUACACCAGCUAGAGAGGAAUAAAGUCACUGACCACAAGGUGCCCCUCGUGCGCUAUAAAAGGGGGAGGACUGAGCGCUGCGAAAGAAACACAUAACACCAGACUCCAGAGCAUUGCAACAUUCUAGCGUCACAACCCUCACACUCCUCAGUAGCCGUAGUAUUAGUAGCUAGCUCCAGUUGUAAUAAAGCCUUUGAGGCAUUGAAUCUCCCCGUGGUGGAGGUAGGCAGAAGGUAGUCCUGUUUUCUCUUUGUAAUCCCUUCGGCGUCUCCCGGAAGGGAAAUCCGUAUGUAAAUUAUGUUGUCGAAAUGAAGUAGUUUUGUGUUUAA